rnacentral:rRNA from 1 species
GAUCAUGGCUCAGGAUGAACGCUAGCUACAGGCUUAACACAUGCAAGUCGAGGGGCAGCGAGAGUGUAGCAAUACACUUGUCGGCGACCGGCGCACGGGUGAGUAACGCGUAUCCAACCUGGCCCUUAGUAGGGGAUAGCCCGGCGAAAGUCGGAUUAAUACCCUAUGUUCUCCUUUGAGAGCAUUUGAUGAGGAGCAAAGAUUUAUCGCUAGGGGAUGGGGAUGCGUCCGAUUAGGCAGCAGGCGGGUGACGGCCCACCUGGCCGACGAUCGGUAGGGGUUCUGAGAGGAAGGUCCCCCACACUGGUACUGAGACACGGACCAGACUCCUACGGGAGGCAGCAGUGAGGAAUAUUGGUCAAUGGGCGCGAGCCUGAACCAGCCCAAGUAGCGUGAGGGACGACGGCCCUACGGGUUGUAAACCUCUUUUGCCGGGGAAUAAAGUGCGCCACGCGUGGCGUUUUGUAUGUACCCGGAGAAUAAGGACCGGCUAAUUCCGUGCCAGCAGCCGC